GACGAACGCUGGCGGCGUGCCUAAUACAUGCAAGUCGAGCGAAGUUUUUCUGGUGCUUGCACUAGAAAAACUUAGCGGCGAACGGGUGAGUAACACGUAAAGAACCUGCCUCAUAGACUGGGACAACUAUUGGAAACGAUAGCUAAUACCGGAUAACAGUAUUUCUCGCAUGAGAGAUAUUUAAAAGUUGGUUAUGCUAACACUAUGAGAUGGCUUUGCGGUGCAUUAGCUAGUUGGUGGGGUAAAGGCCCACCAAGGCGACGAUGCAUAGCCGACCUGAGAGGGUGAUCGGCCACACUGGGACUGAGACACGGCCCAGACUCCUACGGGAGGCAGCAGUAGGGAAUCUUCCGCAAUGGGCGAAAGCCUGACGGAGCAACGCCGCGUGAGUGAAGAAGGAGUUCGGUUCGUAAAGCUCUGUUGUUAGGGAAGGAGGGAUAUGUAGUAACUAUACAUGUAAGAGACGGUACCUAACCAGAAAGUCACGGCUAACUACGUG
rnacentral:rRNA from 1 species